rnacentral:misc_RNA from 1 species
AUAUUUAUUUUGCAGAGGAAUUUUCAAAUCAUUGAUAAGAUUGUAUCCUAACUACUCUCACGGCAAUUGGAUAAAUGCUAUUGUUGUUGCUGAUGGUCAAAGAAAAUUAUACAAUAUAAGACAUGAUGGUAAGUGUUAAUUUUAUAUUUGGUGCGUAAUUAUGACAUUAAAAUAAAUUAUUACGUUAUUGUCCGUUGUUAGAUAUAAUGUAAUGUUUUAUAAUAAUUUAUAUCUAGUUUUAGAUUAUUAUUCCGUAUUUUGCCCUUUUAACCUAAUUUUAAACAAAUUAAGUAAUUAGAUAUAUUUGAAUAGAAUUCUAUGAUAACUGAAUUUUAGUUAAACCUUAAAUCAAAUUGAAUUUUCACCUCCAAGAAUGUUCCUAAUUUGGCUUUAGAAUCAGGAUU